GCCUCCUGCCGGAGACACCGCCGCCCCGUAAAACACCUUCACGCAAGCCUGGGUUAUUAGCUGCCAUCGUCAUCUUGACUGUUUAAACUAGAGGCUUUACUCUUAUAUCCCGGGACGGUUAAAUGAAUACAACCAACCGCCGCUAUGCGACAAAGGGCGAGAGAGAUUCAUUAUUGUACUUUAUACUGUUGGUACAACUGUACGUUUGUACAAUUGUGCUAUACAGCCUCACAGUCGCUAGAAUAUCUGUUUCUAAAGCUCUUCUGGUUUUGUCAUCAUCUAAUUGUGGCAAGGGAUGGGGUCGCUAUUAUUCGUGUUUCGGAGAAGUGGUUUGGGCGUCCCCCCCCCCGACACCGGCACGUCUCCCGUUUGCCCGAGCGCGCUCCUGCAGUGGCGGCCGGCGCCCACGGGGCGGCGCUGUGGCGCCUCGCCGCGGCCCAGGGCGCCCGCGGCGGAUCCGGAGCUCGGCAGACAGGGCAGGCAGGGUGCGCGGCGCCUCUGAUGUGGUCAGGAAGGCAGGGGGGCCCUGUUUUGGAUGAAAAACGCCAGCAAGUCGUGCACGACGCCGCUCCGCUCGCUCGUGACAACAGCAGCAAUAAGGUCCACGGAUAAGGAAGGCACUGUACUGUUCACGUACAAACUGGAUGUCGAAGAACCUCAAAAAUAAAUGCAGCAACAGUAACAAAACAUCGUCUUUCUUUUUGAGAGCGACUUUACCUUCUGCACUGUUGCCCCUGUGUCCGGUCUCUGCAGUUGCCCCCGAUGUGUCAACCCCACACCCCUCCCAGCUCGGCGUGCCUGUCUGCUGCCUGAGCGCACCUCCCCUGCACCCACCUGCACUAGCCCUCUCAACUACGAAUCCACGGAGCUCUUCCUGAAUUCCUCUGCGGCUAAUCCCCCCACUGGGGUCUCCUCUGCCAACCUGGACCAGAACCGAGUUUCCUGAGGUCCCGAUGCAGAGUCACCUUACUGUCUGGCUCGCUGUCAGGGGGCUCUCUGUGUGGGCUGUCACAGGAACAAGCGCAACGACACAUCUGGACACAUCUGUACACACAGGGCGGUGGGAGCGUGGAGCGAGCUGCCCAGACAUGUGGCUGAGGCCAAUACACUUGUGUCUUACAAGAAGCAGCUGGAUGAGACCCUCCAGCCAGGACAGGAGGCCCUUCUUUACACAAAGGGGGGGUGGGAGUGUGGAACGAGCUGCCCAGACAUGUGGUUGAAGGUGGAAACGAUCCCUAUAUCAGUAACGGCGGUCCGGGCCAGGCGGAGGGACUCCAGGGUGAAAACGCGGUCAGGAGGCGGUAAGGGAGGAGCAGCUCGGCGAGGAGAGAACCGGCCCCAGGCGCCGCGCGGCACAGAGCCUGCCUUCAGGCCCUGGUAAACAAACACAGCCUCCCCACCCGCAGCAAACUUCAAUCCCUCUUCAAACACGAACCUCCAGCACGAGCCGCACAGGCCAGGGGCAGAUCGAACAGGCCCAGCCUGGCCCGGCCCGGCCCGGCCCGGCCCCCUGUGUGCCUGUCGACCUUGUGGACCUGCAACCUGAGGAGGCUCUGAUGGAUUUCUGGGUACAGGGGGGAGUUUCAGGGGACCGGAUGA
ensembl:lincRNA